rnacentral:hammerhead_ribozyme from 1 species
ACACUGCUGAGGAGUCUCAUAAUAGGACGAAAUGGCCGUCCAGUGC